UUUUUUUUUUUUUUUUUUUUUUCAAAAAAUUCUUAUUAAGGUGGUUGUCGCGGUUAAGGCAUACCGUCAGAAAAUUCGAAAUUUUUGUAUAGUUAUUAAGGACAU